rnacentral:rRNA from 1 species
GACGAACGCUGGCGGCGUGCUUAACACAUGCAAGUCGAACGGAAAGGCCCUGCUUGCAGGGUACUCGAGUGGCGAACGGGUGAGUAACACGUGGGUGAUCUGCCCUGCACUUCGGGAUAAGCCUGGGAAACUGGGUCUAAUACCGGAUAUGAGCCAUUAUGAGGGUGAGGGUUGGGAAGUUUUUUCGGUGUAGGGUGAGCUCGCGGCCUAUCAGCUUGUUUGGUGGGGAAUGGCCUACCAAGGCGGCGACGGGUAGCCGGCCUGAGAGGGUUGACGGCCACAUUUGGACUGAGAUUCGGGCCAGACCCCUUCGGGGGGCAGCAGUGGGGAAUAUUGCACAAUGGGCGCAAGCCCGAUUCAGCGACGCCGCGUGGGGGAUGACGGCCUUCGGGUUGUAAACUCCCUUCGCUCGGGACGAAGCCUUUUGUGACGGUACCUAGAUAAGAAGCACCGGCUAACUACGUG